GCUCCCUUCAAAGAGCCAUAAAUCCCAUCUCUACAACCAACAUGGCGCUGGACUGCGGCUAUCCCGAGUGUGACGUCAGCUGACACAGACGGGUUGUGUCGUUCAUGGAUUUUAUUCUGGAACUUCCUGUAAACCCGGAAAUGUCUUGUUUUGAAAGGGUUGUAGCUCAAACGGUUUAAAGUGUAUUUCACGGAGCUAAAAUGCGUCAUAAGACGCAAUAAAAAGCACAGAACCAGCCUUAGCACCAGUCGAAACAGGCAUCAAGAAAGCCGUGCACGUGCAGCAGAUGAGACUUUGUGGAAAAAUGAGUGGAGCAGUGAGACGUGGUUCUCCAGUGGAAGUCAUGGAUCAGCAGGAGCAGCCAUCUUAAAAGCUCCAUUUAAAGCGUGACCUUCCAUCUCCACACACAACUAUUCUCCUGACUGGUCAAGACUGGAAAAUGUCCUUCUUCACCAAAAGAGCUCCAAACGUUGUGAAAGCAGACGAUGUUGAGGAAGGGAUCAUCUCUGCCUUCUGCACUGACUUUGUCUUCAAGCUGGCAAACCCGAGACACCUGAAGACACACUGACGUUCCUCCAGAGGUGCAUGGUGGUGACCAACCUCUGCCAAGAACUGUUAACAGGACCAUAAAUCUUCUUUAUUCACUCCAUUAUGCCGCAUACCUAGCAGUGCUUCUAAUGCUCCAGGAGAGAAUCUACCUUAAAUUAAUUCAGCACAAAGGACUUUAUAGAAUUUAUUAUUAUUGUUUUAUGGUAUAAAGUUAGAGGAAGAAAAACUGUAGAACAGAUGAUGAUGUUUGUUGUGAUUUCAUCUUUCAUUCUGUUGCAUGUUUGUGUGUGAAUGACGCCUAACAAAGCUUCUUUAUUUUCAUCACUGGCUGAAAUAAAUGAAACUAAUGACAAUAAAACCACCAAUAGAUGGAGGCCUGAGAAACGUAGGAAAGACCAGAACUGUUAGUUCCACAUGUGUCUGAUCAUCCAGUGUGUAACAGCAACGAGCAACGCAAAGCAACAUGUUUAGUUUUUUCUAGAAGUUUCUUUGUAACAUGCUCCAUCAUACAAGUACAACAUGCAUGUAAGCUGAGCCCCGUCCAGACUGUGAAGUAUAAGUGUAAGAAUAGUAGAACACACACACUUUCUGCUGCUGUUUUCAUGGUUUUCAGUGUGUCUUUCUGCAGGUGCUCCUGAUGAUUGUCUGCUGUGUUUUCAUAUAAAGGCCGUAGGAUGUUUUCUGUUUCUCUACCGGUGUUGCAGCUGGUUGUUCUAUUGUUUCUGUUGUUUCUAUCUUUGUCCUCUCUCCACUUUUUACUCUCCUUUUCUCUUCUGUUUAAUUCAAUCCAGCUUUAUUUGUACAGCAGCUCUUUACAACAAAGUCCUCUCAGGGCUCCUUUCUGUCAUAUCCUGUGUCAGGUCCAGCUUUUAAAUCUUUAUUCAGCAAGAAACUAAUAAAAGAAAUGAAUAAUACUGAAGUAUCAGAGGAGCCUUAUAUGUCGUGGUCAUAGGUGAUGUUCUUGGUUUUGUCAUGUUUACUUUAGUUUCCAGUUUUGUUGGUUCCCGUGUGUGUUGUGUGUUUUGUUUGCGGCUCGUUAGUUCACCUGGUCUGAUUGCUCCCUCACUUCACCUGUUCCCUGUUAGUCGUCCUCUGUUUAUUUACGCCUUGGUUUCUCUGACUCGGUGCCAGAUCAUUGUUGUUGUUUCGUGUUCAGUCUGUAUCGGUUUCCUUGUUCCUUGAUAUUAAAUCCUGGAUAAUGGCG